rnacentral:tRNA from 1 species
CGCGGGAUGGAGCAGUUCGGUAGCUCGUCGGGCUCAUAACCCGAAGGUCGGUGGUUCAAAUCCCGUCUUCUGCUCC